GCGGUCGUCGUCUAGUCUGGUUUAGGACACAGAAGCCCUUUGAGCCUGCGAUCCCGGGUUCGAAUCCCGGCGACCGCA
rnacentral:tRNA from 1 species